UUCGUAGGUGGUGCGGCAAGUUGGAAGUGAAAUCUCUGGGCUUAACCCAGAGGCUGCUUUCAAAACUGCCGCGCUCGAGUGCGAGAGAGGUCAGUGGAAUUGCAGGUGUAGCGGUGAAAUGCGUAGAUAUCUGCAGGAACACCCGUGGCGAAGGCGGCUGACUGGAUCGCAACUGACACUGAGGGAACGAAAGCUAGGGGAGCAAACAGGAUUAGAUACCCUGGUAGUCCUAGCCCUAAACCAUCGGAACUUGGGGUGGCCCGCGUAGGCGGGUCGUCCCGUAGCUAACGCGUUAAGUUCCGCGCCUGGGGAGUACGGUCGCAAGACUGAA
rnacentral:rRNA from 1 species